GUUGCUCCUAGUACGAGAGGACCGGAGUGAACGAACCUCUGGUGUUCGGGUUGUCACGCCAGUGGCACUGCCCGGUAGCUAAGUUCGGAAUCGAUAACCGCUGAAAGCAUCUAAGCGGGAAGCGAGCCCUGAGAUGAGUCAUCCCUGACCCCUUGAGGGUCCUAAAGGGCCGUUGGAGACCACAACGUUGAUAGGUGGGGUGUGUAAGCGUAGCGAUACGUUGAGCUAACCCAUACUAAUUACCCGUGAGGCUUAACCAUACAACACCCAAGAAGUGUUC
rnacentral:rRNA from 1 species